UGCCUAAUACAUGCAAGUCGAACGAGAAACUCGGAGCUUGCUCCGGGUGGACAGUGGCGAACGGGUGAGUAACACGUGAGAAACCUGCCCCGAAGACCGGGACAACACCGGGAAACCGGUGCUAAUACCGGAUGUCCUUACCGGACCGCAUGAUCUGGUAAGGAAAUGGAUUCCGCUUCGGGAUGGUCUCGCGGCCUAUCAGCUUGUUGGCGGGGUAACGGCCCACCAAGGCAACGACGGGUAGCUGGUCUGAGAGGAUGUCCAGCCACACUGGGACUGAGACACGGCCCAGACUCCUACGGGAGGCAGCAGUGGGGAAUCUUGCGCAAUGGGCGAAAGCCUGACGCAGCGACGCCGCGUGGGGGAUGAAGCUUCUCGGAGUGUAAACCCCUUUCGACCUAGACGAAAAGCCUCGCAAGAGGAAUUGACGGUACAGGGAGAAGAAGCCCCGGCUAACUACGUGCCAGCAGCCGCGGUAAGACGUAGGGGGCCAGCGUUGCUCGGAAUUACUGGGCGUAAAGGGUCUGUAGGCGGUGCGGCAAGUCCGGAGUGAAAUCUCCCGGCUCAACUGGGAGGCUGCUUUGGAAACUGCUGUGCUCGAGUGUGGGAGAGGCGCGUGGAAUUGCAGGUGUAGCGGUGAAAUGCGUAGAUAUCUGCAGGAACACCAGAGGCGAAAGCGGCGCGCUGGACCAUAACUGACGCUGAGAGACGAAAGCUAGGGGAGCAAACAGGAUUAGAUACCCUGGUAGUCCUAGCCCUAAACGAUCGGCACUUGAGGUGGGCCCUGUCCGGGGUCCGUCUCGCAGCCAACGCGAUAAGUGCCGCGCCUGGGGAGUACGGUCGCAAGACUGAAACUCAAAGGAAUUGACGGGGGCCCGCACAAGCGGUGGAACAUGUGGUUCAAUUCGACGCAACGCGAAGAACCUUACCUGGGCUCGAAGUACUGCUGACCAUCUGUAGAAAUAUGGACUUCCCGCAAGGGACAGCAGUAGAGGUGCUGCAUGGCUGUCGUCAGCUCGUGCCGUGAGGUGUUGGGUUAAGUCCCGCAACGAGCGCAACCCUUACAUUCUGUUGCCACCCGCAAGGGGGAGCUCGGAAUGGACUGCUCCGGAUAACGGAGAGGAAGGUGGGGAUGACGUCAAGUCAGCAUGGCCUUUAUGUCCAGGGCUACACACGUGUUACAAUGCACGGUACAGACUGUUGCCAACCCGCGAGGGGGAGCUAAUCGGAAAAAACCGUGCUCAGUUCGGAUUGCAGUCUGCAACUCGACUGCAUGAAGCUGGAAUCGCUAGUAAUGGCGUAUCAGAUCGGCGCCGUGAAUACGUUCCCGGGCCUUGCACACACUGCCCGUCACA
rnacentral:rRNA from 1 species